rnacentral:rRNA from 1 species
AGAGUUUGAUCCUGGCUGAGAGUGAACGCUGGCGGCGUGCUUAACACAUGCAAGUCGAACGAGAACGGGUUAAAGCUUGCUUUAACUGUCAGCUAAGUGGCGCACGGGUGAGUAAUAUAUAGGUAACGUGCCUUCAAGAAGGGGAUAACAAUUGGAAACGAUUGCUAAUACCCUAUAUGCCUUUAAGUCUUAAGACUGCAAGGGAAAUAUUUAUAGCUUGAAGAUCGGCCUGUACAGUAUCAGUUAGUUGGUGAGGUAAUGGCUCACCAAGACAAUGACGCUUAACUGGUUUGAGAGGAUGAUCAGUCACACUGGAACUGAGACACGGUCCAGACUCCUACGGGAGGCAGCAGUGGGGAAUAUUGCACAAUGGACGAAAGUCUGAUGCAGCAACGCCGCGUGGAGGAUGACACAUUUCGGUGCGUAAACUCCUUUUAUAUAGGAAGAUAAUGACGGUACUAUAUGAAUAAGCACCGGCUAACUCCGUGCCAGCAGCCGCGGUAAUACGGAGGGUGCAAGCGUUACUCGGAAUCACUGGGCGUAAAGAGAAUGUAGGCGGGUAGAUAAGUUUGAAGUGAAAUCCAAUGGCUCAACCAUUGAACUGCUUUGAAAACUGUUUACCUAGAAUAUGGGAGAGGUAGAUGGAAUUUCUGGUGUAGGG